rnacentral:rRNA from 1 species
GAUGAACGCUAGCUACAGGCUUAACACAUGCAAGUCGAGGGGCAGCAUGAAUUUACUUCGGUAAAUUUGAUGGCGACCGGCGCACGGGUGCGUAACGCGUAUCCAACCUUCCCGUUACUCUGGGAUAGCCUUCCGAAAGGGAGAUUAAUACCGGAUGGUGUUCAAUUGGUGCAUAUUAUUUGAACUAAAGAUUUAUCGGUAACGGAUGGGGAUGCGUACCAUUAGAUAGUAGGCGGGGUAACGGCCCACCUAGUCUACGAUGGUUAGGGGUUCUGAGAGGAAGGUCCCCCACACUGGAACUGAGACACGGUCCAGACUCCUACGGGAGGCAGCAGUGAGGAAUAUUGGUCAAUGGGCGCAAGCCUGAACCAGCCAAGUAGCGUGAAGGAUGACUGCCCUAUGGGUUGUAAACUUCUUUGUUCGGGAAUAAAGUGCAGUAUGUAUACUGUUUUGUAUGUACCGUUCGAAUAAGCAUCGGCUAAUUCCGUG